rnacentral:rRNA from 1 species
GUCUGGCGGCGAGUGGCGAACGGGUGAGUAAUGUAUCGGAACGUGCCCAGUAGCGGGGGAUAACUACUCGAAAGAGUAGCUAAUACCGCAUACGCCCUACGGGGGAAAGGGGGGGAUCGCAAGACCUCUCACUAUUGGAGCGGCCGAUAUCGGAUUAGCUAGUUGGUGAGGUAAAGGCUCACCAAGGCGACGAUCCGUAGCUGGUUUGAGAGGACGACCAGCCACACUGGGACUGAGACACGGCCCAGACUCCUACGGGAGGCAGCAGAGGGGAAUUUUGGACAAUGGGGGCAACCCUGAUCCAGCCAUCCCGCGUGUGCGAUGAAGGCCUUCGGGUUGUAAAGCACUUUUGGCAGGAAAGAAAUCGCAUGGAUUAAUACUCUGUGUGGAUGACGGUACCUGCAGAAUAAGCACCGGCUAACUACGUGCCAGCAGCCGCGGUGAUACGUAGGGUGCAAGCGUUAAUCGGAAUUACUGGGCGUAAAGCGUGCGCAGGCGGUUCGGAAAGAAAGAUGUGAAAUCCCAGGGCUUAACCUUGGAACUGCACUUUUAACUCCCGAGCUAGAGUGCGUCAGAGGGGGGUGGAAUUCCGCGUGUAGCAGUGAAAUGCGUAGAUAUGCGGAGGAACACCGAUGGCGAAGGCAGCCCCCUGGGAUGACACUGACGCUCAUGCACGAAAGCGUGGGGAGCAAACAGGAUU